GGUACACGAGCGGCGAACGGGUGAGUAACACGUGAGCAACCUGCCCCUGACUCCGGGAUAAGCCGGGGAAACCCGGUCUAAUACCGGAUGGGACGCCCCGUCGCAUGGCGGGGCGUGGAAAGGUGUCUUUCCGGUCAGGGAGGGGCUCGCGGCCUAUCAGCUUGUUGGUGGGGUGAAGGCCUACCAAGGCGAUUACGGGUAGCCGGCCUGAGAGGGCGACCGGCCACACUGGGACUGAGACACGGCCCAGACUCCUACGGGAGGCAGCAGUGGGGAAUAUUGCGCAAUGGGCGAAAGCCUGACGCAGCGACGCCGCGUGGGGGAUGACGGCCUUCGGGUUGUAAACCUCUUUUACCACCGGCGCAGGCCCGCGCUUCUGUGCGGGUUGACGGUAGGUGGGGAAUAAGGACCGGCCAACUACGUGCCAGCAGCCGCGGUAAUACGUAGGGUCCGAGCGUUGUCCGGAAUUAUUGGGCGUAAAGAGCUCGUAGGUGGUGUGUCGCGUCUGCUGUGUAAGUCCGGGGCUUAACUCCGGUUUUGCAGUGGAUACGGGCAUGCUAGAGGUAGGCAGGGGAGACUGGAAUUCCUGGUGUAGCGGUGAAAUGCGCAGAUAUCAGGAGGAACACCGGUGGCGAAGGCGGGUCUCUGGGCCUUACCUGACGCUGAGGAGCGAAAGCGUGGGGAGCGAACAGGAUUAGAUACCCUGGUAGUCCACGCUGU
rnacentral:rRNA from 1 species